CACGUAGGCGGUUUGUUAAGUCGGAUGUGAAAGCCCUCGGCUCAACUGAGGAAGUGCACCCGAAACUGGCAAGCUUGAGUACUAAAGAGGGUCGCGGAAUUCCCGGUGUAGAGGUGAAAUUCGUAGAUAUCGGGAGGAACACCGGUGGCGAAGGCGGCGACCUGGGUAGAUACUGACGCUGAGGUGCGAAAGCGUGGGGAGCAAACA
rnacentral:rRNA from 1 species